UGUGUUUCACCAAACCCUGUGCAGACUGAUCAACUUGGGAAACUCAGCAACCAUUCUUGAUGGGUUGUGAUGUGGACACGUCUAUACGAGUGAUCUUGAAUAAUUACACAAAUGGCCCUGAGAGACCUUUCACCUAUGAGCGCUACGUGUUUUCCUGCCCGAUGUUUUGGCAUGAUGGGAAUCGUGAGAUCCGUUUGACAGAUCGCGGAUGUUAUUUCUACUACAAUACUCACCAUGGUGAUGACGCGCAUACGGAUGCAGAGGGAUGAAUGAACAAGAAAUCCUAUUGGACACGAGCUUGAUACUGACGCACUGAUAGUGCGCGCAAUGACUCUGUUCAUAUGUCCGAUUUAGGGCUCAUUGGGUGAGAUAAUUCACACCGGGUGAUCGGUUUUACACGGGAAGUAUAGUAUCGGAGAGUCUUUUUUUGUCCAUAAGGGUUUUCACUGGGGUGAUCAUGAGGCAGAUAACUGACAUGCUUGUCACACGGAUACGACGGAUGACGCCACACAACAGCGGUAAGCUAGCUCGGACCUAAUUUUUAAUGUUUAAUCUAAACAUUAGCGUCUUAGUCUUUUAAAGGAUGUGCACUUUAUUUGUAUUUCAUCAAUAUUUUACUACACCUUUUAUGAUGGGUAUGUUUGAUCACUGUUGUAUAAACACUUGUCCUCCUUGCAACCUUGUAUCGGAUGGAUAUUCCAGCAGAUAUUGAAACAAUUUUAGCUUUGACACUUUUUAGCAUGUAGUGUUCACUUACUGAAUGGAUAUGUAUGUUACAAUUGUUCAUUGAUUGAUCUUUGGGGUUUUUUUGGUAGGGGAGUAUUCUGUCAGUACUUUUAUAGAUAUACACGUCAGAGUGGGAGGGUUUGUAACAUUUUCGCGCCACUGGUGGGGUAUUUAUAGGCAAAUGUUUUAACAUUUUGUUACUUUGACAAAGGCUGGUGUGACAGCCGAAACGUUAGUGUGAUUUAAUAAAUUCACCAUUUCUUUAUAA